UGGGGAAUAUUGCACAAUGGAGGGAACUCUGAUGCAGCGACGCCGCGUGAACGAAGAAGGCUUUCGAGUCGUAAAGUUCUUUUAUAUGGGAAGAUAAUGACGGUACCAUAAGAAAAAGCCCCGGCUAACUACGUGCCAGCAGCCGCGGUAAUACGUAGGGGGCUAGCGUUGUCCGGAAUCACUGGGCGUAAAGGGUUCGCAGGCGGAAAUGCAAGUCAGGUGUAAAAGGCAGUAGCUUAACUACUGUAAGCAUUUGAAACUGCAUAUCUUGAGAAGAGUAGAGGUAAGUGGAAUUUUUAGUGUAGCGGUGAAAUGCGUAGAUAUUAAAAAGAAUACCGGUGGCGAAGGCGACUUACUGGGAUCAUUCUGACGCUGAGGAACGAAAGCGUGGGUAGCAAACAGG
rnacentral:rRNA from 3 species